rnacentral:rRNA from 1 species
AAGCGGCAGACGGGUGAGUAACACGUAGGUUGAUUACCCCAGAGACGGGAUAACGGGUGGAAACAUCCGCUAAUACCGGAUAGACUUGUUCGGUCAAAGGGACAAGGAAAGGCUCCGGCGCUCUGGGAGGAGCCUGCGGCCCAUCAGCUAGUUGGCGGGGUAACGGCCCACCAAGGCAAAGACGGGUAGGGGGUGUGAGAGCAUGGCCCCCCACAAUGGGACUGGAACACGGCCCAUACUCCUACGGGAGGCAGCAGCAGGGAAUAUUGCACAAUUGGACGGAAGUCUGAUGCAGCGACGCCGCGUGGAUGAAGAAGGCCCUCGGGUUGUAAAAUCCUUUACAGGGGGAAGAGGAAGGACGGUACCCCUGGAACAAGUGUCGGCUAACUACGUGCCAGCAGCCGCGGUAAGACGUAGGACACAAGCGUUAUCCGGAUUUACUGGGCGUAAAGCGUCUGCAGGCGGACAGGUAAGUUGGGCGUGAAAGCUCCGGGCCCAACCCGGAGAGGUCGUUCAAUACUGCGUGUCUAGAGGGUGUCAGAGGGGAG